AAGUGUUGUGUUGGUGCUGAAAUGAUAAGAAAAGUGCACACACGAUUUUGCUGUUUCUAGCAUCUGUGAUUUGUUCUUAAGGCAUGAGAUGCUAUCAUUUAUGCUCCCUAUAAUUGCAUGGGUAUGAAACUUAACUUCUUGCAUUAAGAACAUGCAUCAAACAAAAAAAAAAAACUUUACAAAACACAGCCUUCUCUUAGGGCUGGAUGCCUGCAUGCAUCUUUAAACAAAAAAAAAAAAAAUCCUUUACAAAACACAGCCUUCUCUUAAGGCUAGAUGCCUGCAUAUGCAUCUACAUCUUUACAAAAACAACCUUCUCUAUUUACACCUGAAUACCCAAAGUAUUCAUAAGCGCUUCCAUCCCAUUUGAAAUUCCAGCUUCCAUUAGAUAGAUUAGACAAUGUCUAACCAAAUCAAC
rnacentral:lncRNA from 1 species